rnacentral:misc_RNA from 1 species
UUUCCGUAGGUGAACCUGCGGAAGGAUCAUUAAAGAACGCCCCGUUUUUUGAAAUGGGUAAUUCUAAACCGUGUAUACAUACCUUUGUUGCUUUGGCAGGCCGCCCCUCAGGGCGUCGGCUCCGGCUGACUGCGCCUGCCAGAGGACCCAAACUCUUUUGUUUAGUGAUGUCUGAGUACUAUAGAAUAGUUAAAACUUUCAACAACGGAUCUCUUGGUUCUG